ensembl:lncRNA
AAAGAAAGUUGUAUGGGCUACAUCUGGGAUGGCAAGAGUGUAUCCCAAUUUGUUUUUUAUAUUUAUAUUAUAGGAAAAUUGAAUAAUCAAGUCAGUUUAAGUUGUUAAAUGUUAUGCUGUUACUUUUCUAAGCAACCAGAUUUGUGCUUUUUACCCAGAAGGCUGUAAAAAAGCAAAAAGCAUAGAUUUAGGAGGAAGCCGAGCUGUAUCUAGAGACAACAAUAUCAGAGAGACUUCUGUUUAUUUGAUUCGAGCCAGUAUUAUUUGAUUAUUUCUUUGUAGGUGUGUCUUUCCUGUGUCCUGUCCAUUCCUGGACAAAUGGAGAGGGACUUUCUGGAGACGUUCUACAACACAGGUGAUUUUUUUUUUUUUUUACAAUAAUACAGCAUCUUAGGGCUGGAAUACACCACAAAACCUUUGCACAGAUUUGUAGUCUGGAUGAGUCGACACUAGUUGCUGAAAAUCACAGGCAGUCUCAGAUUUGAGUUGACAGAUUUCACAGAAAAUUGUGUAGAUUAUAAACAUAAUAGACUUGUGGUAUCGGUCAUCCUGCAGGGGCGUGCCCUCUGAGAGCCGAUGGGGUUGGUCAGUUCUGAUGAAGGAGCCGGCGCAGUGGGUGGAGUUAGAGGGUCACGAUUAUGUUCUGGAUCUGGUGUGUGACCUGGAGCUGCUGCCAGACUUCCCCAAACAGAAAACAUACUUCAUCAUCUCUACUGAAGACCCCAGCAAGGCACGACCUAACGCGAGCAUGUACGCAGUAUAUUUAGUCAUUCUCAGACAUGUUUCCAUUGUAGUGCUUUCUUGUCAUAACAUUUAAUACAUAUGUUUAUACGCAGAAGUCUCUUUGGCAGUGGAUUCGAAGAGGAUGAGAAUGGACCGCUCUCAUAUGCCAACCGAAAGAGCGCCGUUGCAACCAACAGCCUACCAAUUUCUGAAGGCCACUACAAUCUGGACUCAGAACCACCCUAUGAUGGCACUCAGAGAGGGAUGGACCGGUAUUUGGACAGCCUGUUUGACCCAGUUCUGUCUGAUGGAACUGGGGACCUUGAUGCAUCAGUUUUGUCUGGUAGGAUGAAGGGUGGAGGAGGUAUAGGUGGUGAUGAAGCACAAUCUCCUGCUAGGGUCAAUGUCUCAGCUGCUCUUCAGCCUGGAGGUUCACACACUCAUUUAAUGCUCUCUUCUGAAAAGUCCAGCUUAAACAAGCAGGAAUUUCUUUGCUGGUCCAGGCCGGUUUAUGCUGGUUUUGGAACUGGACUGCCAGCAAAACCUGUCCAUCUUUAUCUGCAUACGUACUGUAUAUACUGUACUAUAUAGCAAAUCUAAACUGCCUGAUUUUUUGUCGUAAAAUGUAUCUAUAUUAUCACCCACAUCUUUACAUUAAUUUGGAUAUAUAAGUAUGCCCAUCUCAUCCCAAGUAUGCAAAUCUCAACUGCUUGAUUAUUUGUAUCACAAAAUGGAAUCUAAUUCUAAUCUAGUCAAUGCUACUGUAAGGCAUUAAGAUUAAACAUGAAAGGAAUAGUUCACCCAAAAAUAAACAUUUGCUGAAACUUUACUCA